rnacentral:rRNA from 1 species
ACGAACGCUGGCGGCGUGCUUAACACAUGCCCGUCGAACGGAAAGGCCCUGCUUUUGUGGGGUGCUCGAGUGGCGAACGGGUGAGUAACACGUGAGUAACCUGCCCUUGACUUUGGGAUAACUUCAGGAAACUGGGGCUAAUACCGGAUAGGAGCUCCUGCUGCAUGGUGGGGGUUGGAAAGUUUCGGCGGUUGGGGAUGGACUCGCGGCUUAUCAGCUUGUUGGUGGGGUAGUGGCUUACCAAGGCUUUGACGGGUAGCCGGCCUGAGAGGGUGACCGGCGACAUUGGGACUGAGAUACGGCCCAGACUCCUACGGGAGGCAGCAGUGGGGAAUAUUGCGCAAUGGGCGGAAGCCUGAUGCAGCAACGCCGCGUGCGGGAUGACGGCCUUCGGGUUGUAAACCGCUUUCGCCUGUGACGAAGCGUGAGUGACGGUAAUGGGUAAAGAAGCACCGGCUAACUACGUG